rnacentral:rRNA from 1 species
UGGGGAAUAUUGCGCAAUGGGCGAAAGCCUGACGCAGCGACGCCGUGUGAGGGAUGAAGGUCUUCGGAUCGUAAACCUCUGUCAGGAGGGAAGAAACGCAUAGAGUGGAAAUACUCUGUGCCUGACGGUACCUCCAGAGGAAGCACCGGCUAACUCCGUGCCAGCAGCCGCGGUAAUACGGAGGGUGCUAGCGUUAAUCGGAAUUACUGGGCGUAAAGCGUACGUAGGCGGCCUUUCAAGUCAGGUGUGAAAGCCCUCGGCUCAACCGGGGAACUGCACUUGAUACUGCAAGGCUGGAGUUCGAGAGAGGGUGGCGGAAUUCCGGGUGUAGGGGUGAAAUCCGUAGAUAUCCGGAGGAACACCGGUGGCGAAGGCGGCCACCUGGCUCGACACUGACGCUGAGGUACGAAAGCGUGGGGAGCAAACA